GCCUGGUGCAGUGGCACCUGCCUGAGGUUCCAGCUACUGGGGAGGCUGAGGCAGGAGAAUCACUUAAGCCCAGGAGUUUGAGGCCAGCCUGGGCAACAGUGAGACUCUGCCUCAA
rnacentral:sRNA from 1 species